UACGGAGGGGGCUAGCGUUGUUCGGAAUUACUGGGCGUAAAGAGUGUGUAGGCGGUGCUCUAAGUUCGGUGUGAAAUCUCCUGGCUCAACUGGGAGGGUGCGCCGGAAACUGGAGUGCUUGAGCGUGGGAGAGGAAAGCGGAAUUCCUGGUGUAGCGGUGAAAUGCGUAGAUAUCAGGAGGAACACCUGUGGUGUAGACGGCUUUCUGGACCAUAGCUGACGCUGAGACACGAAAGCGUGGGUAGCAAACAGG
rnacentral:rRNA from 1 species